rnacentral:rRNA from 1 species
UACGUAGGGACCGAGCGUUGUCCGGAUUCAUUGGGCGUAAAGAGCUCGUAGGCGGCUGUUCAAGUCGAACGUGAAAACUCGGAGCUCAACUCCGAGCCUGCGUUCGAUACUGGACGGCUAGAGUCUGGUAGGGGGAUCUGGAAUUCCCGGUGUAGCGGUGAAAUGCGCAGAUAUCGGGAGGAACACCAAUGGCGAAGGCAGCUUGCUGGGACGGUACUGACGCUGAGACGCGAAAGCGUGGGGAGCGAACAGG